UGGGGGAUAUUGCACAAUGGGCGAAAGCCUGAUGCAGCGACGCCGCGUGGGGGAUGAAGGCCUUCGGGUUGUAAACUUCUUUUGCUCUGAACAAGGCAUGCCUUUGGGGUGUGUUGAGUGUAGGGGUUGAUUAGCGCCGGCUAACUACGUGCCAGCAGCCGCGGUAAUACGUAGGGCGCGAGCGUUGUCCGGAAUUAUUGGGCGUAAAGGGCUUGUAGGUGGCUGGUUGCGUCUGUCGUGAAAGCUCAUGGCUUAACUGUGGGUUUGCGGUGGGUACGGGCUGGCUUGAGUGCAGUAGGGGAGGCUGGAAUUCCUGGUGUAGCGGUGGAAUGCGCAGAUAUUAGGAGGAAUACCGGUGGCGAAGGCGGGUCUCUGGGCUGUUACUGACGCUGAGGAGCGAAAGCGUGGGGAGCGAACAGG
rnacentral:rRNA from 1 species